rnacentral:rRNA from 2 species
AAAGUCUGAUGGAGCAACGCCGCGUGAGUGAAGAAGGGUUUCGGCUCGUAAAACUCUGUUGUUAAAGAAGAACAUAUCUGAGAGUAACUGUUCAGGUAUUGACGGUAUUUAACCAGAAAGCCACGGCUAACUACGUGCCAGCAGCCGCGGUAAUACGUAGGUGGCAAGCGUUGUCCGGAUUUAUUGGGCGUAAAGCGAGCGCAGGCGGUUUUUUAAGUCUGAUGUGAAAGCCUUCGGCUCAACCGAAGAAGUGCAUCGGAAACUGGGGAACUUGAGUGCAGAAGAGGACAGUGGAACUCCAUGUGUAGCGGUGAAAUGCGUAGAUAUAUGGAAGAACACCAGUGGCGAAGGCGGCUGUCUGGUCUGUAACUGACGCUGAGGCUCGAAAGUAUGGGUAGCAAACAGGAUUAGAUACCCUGGUAGUCCAUACCGUAAACGAUGAAUGCUAAGUGUUGGAGGGUUUCCGCCCUUCAGUGCUGCAGCUAACGCAUUAAGCAUUCCGCCUGGGGAGUACGGCCGCAAGGCUGAAACUCAAAGGAAUUGACGGGGGCCCGCACAAGCGGUGGAGCAUGUGGUUUAAUUCGAAGCUACGCGAAGAACCUUACCAGGUCUUGACAUACUAUGCAAAUCUAAGAGAUUAGACGUUCCCUUUGGGGACAUGGAUACAGGUGGUGCAUGGU